UGGGGGAAACAAGACAAGAAUUAUGUUGAAAUUAAUUUGCUGAGAAGCACAAUUAUCUUUCAGAGUAGCCCUGCUUUCAUUCAGUGCCAGCUUUCCCAUAAUGCUUAUGUAGGAAGUAUGUGAAAUUUAACUAUCUCUGAAUUUAAUGAUACAGACAGGAAUUUAUACAAUACGACCCUAUAAGACAUUUAUUUUACAUUAUAUGGCUGACACUGUGACAAAUAAAGCAGCAUUUACAAAUGAUACAACACUGCAAGUCUUCGUCUUUUAUUUAAUAUUGCAGUUACACUGAUUUAUGAGUAGGUUGUUGCAAUACAGCCUCCAGCCACAGGAGGCAGCACUAAUAUCGUUCAGCGCAGGUGAGCACACCUGAAAUUACGCGCCAUAUUUGAAUUUACAAUGGCCGUAAUUACCUCAAUGGAGACCAGCUGUUCUCUUUGGAGUGAGUUGACGCUUUGUUACUUCGCGCCGGCCUGGAAUAGAUUUUUUUCCAUCCUGAAACAUCAUUAAGACGACCGGCUUGCCUCGAAACAUACCAGGAACUGGAAAUAUUAUGCCUCCAGCUUCCCACUGUGACCGGAGAGCAGCUAGCCACAGUCUGUGACUUCACCCAGCCCAUAAACUGCCGGUGUCAUUGCUCAAGGCCCAGGCCAGUAAUGCACAGCUGGGAUACCAUGUGUUUGAACAGCCCCCAGAUCUUCUACGUAUAGCUCCGAUCAACACCCAGCAGAAGUCCUCUAAAAGCAGUUGUUCUGGACCAUGCCUCUGGAACCACCAAUGGUCUCAAGCACUCAUCAUGAGGUAUGUGUUAUUGACCACGGAGGACAGGUAGGACUUUUUGACGUCUCACACCAACACCAGUAAUCCGCAGCAAGCAGCCAUACUGUCUACACAGCGAGAGGAAAUAAUAAUACGACGUCGCCCACCAUAUAACGAUUAAAGGUAUGGCCAUUUUCUUCCUACUAUGGCGGCAGGCCUGCAUGGACUUUGCUUUGUGACAAAGGCUGUGCAUUGAACAGUCAAAACUAACUUACAAUAUGAUGAAUAUGAAGUGACAGGCGGAUUUAUACAUUUAAACAAAUAUAUUAUUAUCUUGUGAAUGGCGCGCAGCGGUGAGGAAGUUGAGAGAAAAACA